GCAAGCAGCAGGCAACCACGCCGCGUGAGGGUGACGGCCUUCGGGUUGUAACCUCUUUCAGUAGGGAAGAAGCGAAGUGACGGUACCUGCGAAAAGCGCCGGCUAACUACGUGCCAGCAGCCGCGGUAAUACAG
rnacentral:rRNA from 1 species